UAUUGUAAACCCUGCCUUAAUUAGUUAGGUUAGGUUACUAAUUAAGGCAGGGUUUACAAUAGG
rnacentral:miRNA from 1 species